GAUGAUUAUUAUCAAUUCGUCCACGUCCCUGCAAUCUCGUGUGACAGAUCGUGGUCAAAAAUCGAAUCGAUAACAGAAGAGUCGUCGUGACGUGACAUAAAUGAUGGAUCAAGUCGUGUCGAAAAUUGUGAGUGGUGACAAUUUGGCGACAACGUCAGUGCGUCUUUUUAUCCUAAUCACGGUCGUGGCGACGGCAGCGUCGGGAGGAUUGAGGCAACCGUACGGUCGUGUGGGGACAGAGUUGGGGGAUUAUCGGUUGGCAAACGGGGAGCCGUUUGUUACAUUGUAUGAGCAUGAGAACUUUCGAGGCAAGAUAUUUCGCCAACGGGUUCGCCGAGAAUGUUCCAACUUGCCGUUUCGAUAUCUGGAUUGGAGUUCCAGCGUGGCGUUGCAUGGGCGUUGUGUGACCAUGUGUAGCGAGAGGAAUUGUGGGGGGACUUGUGUAAAUUUGUACCCAGACGGUGAGCAAGGGGACAAGGGCGUCAAACGGUUGAACAAUCUCGGAAUCAAUGAUCGCGGUCGAUCCGUCAAGUUCUGUUAUCAACAAAAGUUUCAAAAAUUCUAAGAAAAACAAAAAAUUCCUGAAAAUGGAUAAGCGAAGAAUUUUGGAUUCUUAAGACUUAUUUUCUUUUGAAUCGAGGAUUGAAUUGUGUGGUUUUAGCUUAUUUUUUCGAGUUUUUAGUUACAGGUUUUUAGUCAUAAGAGAAAGUUUGUAAAUAGUUUGAUGUCAAUAUGUGACAUGACAUAAUGUUAGUUUUGAGUUCCUCGUUGAUUUUUUAUGGGUUAUUGUUGCAUGAUGUAGUUCAUAUCCGGUUGUAAUUGAAGACUGAUUAUGGUAGAUGUGUAGUAGUAGUAGUAAAAUUUUAAGAUGUGUAGUUAGUCGUUGGUGAUGGUAGGGAAGUCACGUUUUUUGGUGGUAUAGAUAGAUGGGGGACGCCGUAUGACAUGGUACUACUGGUUUUGGGUUACUAUUUAUCAUCACCGUGUAGCGUGUGGCUGCUUAUUGUGCUCGUGGCGUCACUUUUUUUAUCCAAAGUUUAAAACUUUUUUUACGGCUUGGUUACAUAUUCCUUAUUCUAAUGGUGAGUGGUUAAUGUGUAAUUAUGUUGUUGCUUUUUCUCCUGGUUAGUUAGUUACUUAAUUGCGUGUAUACAUAUGUGCUAGUCUUCUGCUGCUGUAAUAAUUAAUAAUAAAGAAGCGAUGAUGGAAAUUGACUUGAAAAAAGGUCCUGGCAUAAUUUGGAUGGUUUUGAUGAUUUUGUUGGCAGGAGAUAAUUUCUUCCUGUCGCCGCUUCCUUCCUUUUUGGCUUAUUAACCUAUGUAUGUCCUCGUUAUUAAAAGGUAUGUAUCCCCAAUUUUUGCUAGCUCCCCAAUAAAUAAAUACUUGUAAUUUUGGCGAAAUGUUGGACCAGAUUAUUUAUUUAUUCGUUUCAUGAAAAGUGAGCAGUUGAGUUUAUUUCGUUAGUUGGUACGAGUUGUGUCGUAAAUUCUGAGAAAUUGCAGUUGAAUCUAAAUAUUCAUAGGUUUUUGAGAUAAUAAAUUUAACAAGAAAGUCAAAUUCAGAGUUAAAGACUGCAAAAAAAUCGGGAAAAAUCAUAAUUUCGGUUAAUUUUGGUUUCAAACCUUGUUUCAUGAAAGGUGAUUGGACCGACUUGAUUCCGUUUGUGCAGAUUAAUUACAUUACUUUUUCACCGUAUUGAGGAGAUUUUCAGUUGAUACGAAAAUAAGAACGUCUUUAGAGAUAAAUUAAAUUCUGAGUAAAAGACUGCAAAAUAGAAUCGGGAAAAUCGUAAUUUCGAUAAAUUUUGGUUUAAAACCAUGUUUCAUGAAAACUGAUUGUGCAGAUUUAUUAGAUUCCUUAUUAACCGUUUGGCAUGCAAAGAGUUGUAUUUAUAUGUCUUGAACCAUUUUAUCUAUUCAGUUUUUGGGGAUAAUAAAGUUGUUAGAAAAACUUAAAUUCGGAGUAAAGACUGCAAAAAAAAUCGGGAACAAUUUCAAUUUCGAUCAAUUUUGGUUCUCAACCUUGUGCGAUGAAGAUUCCAUUACUAUUUUCAUACUGGACCGACGCCCUCCUUCUUUUGGGCGUGCUCCUCUCCAUCUUUUCCGUGGGUGUGGUCACCUCGGGAAAAAUCUUGGCGAAUGCGCCCCACGUGGAGUUGGACGAUUACAGGCUGGGAUCCACCCGCGGCCUGGGCGACCCUUACGUCAUCCUCUACGAGCGAGAAAACUAUAAAGGACGCGUCCACUAUCACCGGUUGGCGAAGAAGGGUUGUACGAAUGUGGCGGCGUCUCAUGCCAAUUGGGCAUCUUCGAUUGAUCUGCAGCGUCACUGUGUCAAAUUGUGUGACGGGGUGGACUGCGGGGGGAGGUGCGUGAUGGCGGUGGAGGAUCAGGCCCCCAGGGCGGCGAGGGGGGUGGGACAACUGGCCAAAAUCGGGCUUAACGAUGCCGUCAAGUCGGUCAAGUUCUGCUUCUCGUGACGAAAAAAGGGGUCGAAGUUGCUAGUUUUUGUUUGAUUUUGGUUGUUUUUUAUGUCGAUUAUUUUUGUAACUGUGAGAUUAUCUAAUUGAUUAAUUUGUUUGUGUUCCUAUUUUACGCCUUACUUAAUUUACUGAUUGAUUAGUUGAGUGAUUUUUUUUAUUAAAAUGAGUCCAAUCGGUACACGCGUUGUUGGUGAAUUGAAUGACAAAGUGCGUUUUCGAUGCAGAGUUGUUUGGUGACUUUUUAUUUUUUGCUGUGCUGGCCAAACUGCAUUUCCUGUCGAUUGCUUCCUGUGGAUUGACACAUUAAACUUAAUUAUGAAUUGGUCGUAUGUAGAUUUGUUUACACUUUCCUUCCUUGCUUAUCCCCUUCAAAAGGAUGAGAUGCAUGUGCAAUAUGUAAAUUUACACCCAUCAUCGCCCCUUCAAUUUUGUGCGUAAGAGUCACAAAAUAAAUUGUCAAUUGAUUCAUUUUUGCAUCAUUAUUCGUACUCGGAUCUCAAUACAUCUCAGAAUUUGGUUUGUUACGGUUGCCGAUCUCAUCGGGACAAAUUGGACGUUAAAAUUGCACAAUUUUUGCAUAAAUCUGAGGUAAGAUGAGACCGGUAAUGACCAGCAGCCUUAUCAUUGUGCAGCUGAUAAGUGUCGUCGUGAGUGGAAUGAGAUCGGAAAAGUCAGUCCUAUUCCUGGUAGCACAACCACCAAAAAUCCCACUUCCCGUGUCAGCAACGCCAUUCGUGACGUUCUAUGGGGACGAGUUGUUUCGAGGGAAGUAUUAUCAUCACUACUUGAAAGGAGAGUGUACCAAUCUGCCCUCGACGUACGAUAACUGGGCGUCAUCCGUGGAUACGUACGACCGCUGCGUGUAUCUCUGCGACGCCAAGGAUUGCGGUGGCCAGUGUAAACGGGUCCAUGGUCAGACGGUGGAUAGAUUGACGCCGUUCCGACUCAACGAUAAGGUCUCGUCAGUCAAGUUUUGUUAUACGUUUGCGCAGCGGGGGUAAAUACGAAGGGGGAAUAAAGUUAUUGUUUUUUGUAAAUGUUUUAGUUAUUUGUUGUGUGACGCCAAAUAAAAAUUUUUAAAAAAAUUGUGAGGCAUG